GUUUAUGGCCAUGCCACUCUGAACGUGCCUGAUCUCAUCUGAUCUCCAAAGCUAAGCAGGGCUGGGCCUGGUUUGUACUUGGAUGGGAGACCACCUAGGAAUAUCAAGUGCUGUAGGCG
rnacentral:rRNA from 1 species